ACCCGCCCGCGCCGCCCUCCUGGGGUGCCUCUCAGGGACCCAGGCGCUCAGCUGCUGGGGCCGCGGAGGGCGUUCGCGGGGCGCCGGGGAAGGCUAGGGCCGCGGGGUCCCCGGGGCGCCGUCCCCAACCGCCGACGCCUGCCAGACCACCAAGUGGGGGCCAUGUCGACGUGUGAGGAGCCUGGUGGAAGGUGAUACUGGAAUUCCGGCACUGGGCCUGCAACCCUUUUAGUCCACAGUUGUCAGAAUCUAAAGGGAAGAAAAACGAAGUGCUCAGAACCCUCACAGAAGCCGGGCACCUCAUCCCGUGUGUGGGUUUUUUCCCCAGUACAAACCCAUUGUGGGGACAGGCGCUUUUGAAGAAAAAAUUCAGAUUCCCGGGCUGAAGUGGCUCCUCACAGCCUUGAACCUGACCCCCAGCUUCCCGCUAAAGCCGAGCGUGCCCAGCACGGCGAGGUCAGCAGAGGCCCCUCGGAGGGCGGCCGGGGGAGGUCAGUGGGAGGCCCUCGGGCAGCCGGUGGAUGGGCCGGCGACCUCCCCGACUCCAUCAGAAGCGCUCAGUCUGUGCCCUUCAGUUACUGGAGCAGCUCCCGUCCUUUGGCCAGUUCUCUGGAAGGUCGUUUCCGUUUCUGUGUCUGCCACACGUGCAGCACAAUCGAAAAACCUUGUUCGACAUUUCUAGAAAGAGUAGAUGCUACUGAAGACCCAAUAGAUUGCUGAGGGUUUUCAGAGCAGGGACAAUUGCAUCAGGGUGCUGGGCUCCGGGAAGAACUCAGAGGACUUGGCUGACGGGCGGAUGGGACAGUGAUUGGUGCCGAGAAUGGGCCAGAGAAGCAGGUCUGCCUGGAGCAGGCACCCGAGGCCGCGUGCAGGGGCGGUCCUGGGCCACCAACCCCUGGAAGCUGGGCCAGGAGCUUCGGAGCCAUCCGAGGCUUUUUUCGCUCCUCUCACUCUCAUGCACCUAGUUACCCUCCCCACAGAGUCUUCUCACGGCGCGGUUUUCGGCUACCAUUGCAGUGGUGUCUGACUACACCCAGUGCCUCUAUCGUUCCCCCCUCAGUCUGUUCUCGCUUCUUGGCAAACCUGUCCUUGGAAAGCCCUCUGCUGACUCCUGUUACCCUGAUCAAAUGCAUCCUCCUCAGGAGGCUCGUGAGCCCUUUGCAGGGUGGCCCAAGAGGCAUCACGCCCUGCUCUCCAGCCACUCUUGGGGUCCCCUACAGGGCCAGGCGUCCCACACCAGCAGCGGGUGCUGGUCCUGCCACAGUCUGUGCGACACGUGAAUGAAGGCUGUAGACCUGUGGUCUGCGGGAGGCAAAUUCCAACUCCAGCUGUCAAACAUAAGGGGACUGGUAGGCUCUCCAGGGUGGAUUGUCUCACGGCAUCCAGAGGCAGGGACCGAGGCAGGGACCUAGCCAGGCCUCGGGAAGGAGCUGCAAACCCAGGAGCUCUGGGGUGUGGCUUCAUCUCCCUCCCUCCCUACCACCCUACCCCCAUCUCUCCGUGUUCUUCAGAUGCCUCAUUUUCCUGUCAGGCACCUGGCCAGCUCUAGGAGCUGGAAUCAGGUUGGUGCCUCCUUGGUCAGUGUCCACCCCUAGUGUCAUCCACAGUGACCAACGGAAGGGGUGGCCGGUGGUACAGGACAUUGGCCAUCUUGGGAAAGAUCACAGAGACAGGAAGGGCCUCUCCAGCUGAGCAGAUGAGAGGUUCUUCAGUGGUCUGGACACAUUUGCCCACUCAUGGCCGUCCCCCUGCCCUGUUGAGAGAACCGAUGAGGAAAGGGAGCCCUGCAUCUGUCGCCUUCCGACUCCGACCGCCUGAGGCUGGGCUGCCGGCAAGCCGCGGCAGCAUAUGACAGCACUUGAAAGAAAGUCCCUGGAAAGAAUGUGGAUCAUUGCAGAACUCCCUCAAGAAAGCGCCAGAGGAGGACCCCAUUCAGCACCCCGCAGAACUCCUCAAACUCCUGCGUCCACACUCCCCCAGCGUGGUGGCUGCUUCUAUCUCCCCAGGCUUAGCUGGCCUGGGUCUUGAAGGCCUCUCCUCCUGCUGUCCCCACGCAGCAUCCUCUCUGCCACUGCACAGCUGGAUGCAGUGAAGGCCAGGCGGCUGUGGCUGCUUGGGCAACAGGAGCUGCUUGACCCUGUUCUGCUGGCCUUGUUGGCCUCACUCCCGUAGAGAGCCAAGGUUACCCACGUCUCUGAAGCUAAGGCUUUCUUUCUAGGCCUGGGGGAGUCACAUCUUGCAUUCGUACUCACUGAGCUCCACGUCUAUGGUUAGAGAAUUUAUCAACAUUUUAUAAUGCUUUUAUCAAUUCCAUCAUUUGAGGGCCCUCUGGCAAGGAACCUGUUAGUACAUGGAGUGCCUGGAAUGUUCCAGAAAGCUAACAUGAACAGCUGGCCCUUGCUGUCCUUAUACAUUGAGGACUCCAAAGGCCACUCAGGAUGACAGGAAAUGCAGGCUCCAAAAGAUUCGGUUCCUUUGUGAGGCCCUCGGGCAGUGGUCAGACACGAAGGAAAUAGGAAAUCACCCCCAAACCACACCUCUCCCUAUGAGGCCACAGCUGCCGAUGCAGCCUUGGGAGGGGGAUGGAGGGAGAGAGGAGGGCAUCUGAAUGUGGACACACCCUGCUGUGAGGGCUGUGGGCGGUCCUGAGACUGGAGCCAGCCCCCAGGCUCAGCUCAGCUCGGGGACCUCGUGCCCGGGCUUUCCUGGGGAGGAAGGUGUUGGAUCUCCUGCCUCUCUGUAUUCAUUCACACUUUGGGUUUCUCUCUCUUCCGCGCAUUCUAACAUCUGCAGGAUUUUUUUUUUUUUUUUUUUUUUUUUGAGACAGAGUCUCGCUCUGUUGCCCAGGCUGGAGUGGAGUGGUGCGAUCUCAGCUCGCUGCAAGCUCCGCCUCCUGGGUUCACGCCAUUCUCGUGCCUCAGCCUCCAGAGUAACUGGGACCACAGGCGCCCGCCACGACGCCCAGCUAAUUUUUUGUAUUUUUAGUAGAGACGGGGUUUCACCGUGUUAGCCAGGAUGGUCUCGAUCUCCUGACCUUGUGAUCCGCCCGCCUCGGCCUCCCAAAGUGCUGGGAUUACAGGCGUGAGCCACCGGGCCUGGCACAUCUGCAGGAUUUAUGGAUGAAGGGCCACAAACCCACAUUUGGUCUCAUUCAACAGAUGUUGUGUCGGCAGGGCGAGGUGGGACUCUGUCUCUGCCCACGCUACCUGCCCCUGGGGUUGUAGUUCUAGGAAAGCAAGUCUCAGACUGAGUUUUGAUCUGGAUUAAAUUCUGUCCCAGGUGCAGAUAUUUAUAGGAAAGCAGGGACAAGAGCCCUCAGGCAAAGCUGGGUAUCCUGCGAUGGGUGCCUCUGGGAGUUCGCAGAUAACAAGGCCUUUUCCUGGAGGCAAAGCAGAAGCGUUCUGUGGCAGACCAGUCAGCUUUCUAGCAGGUCAGGGGCAGGGACAUCUAGGCCCAAGGUGUCACACCGUGCCUGGCUGCUGGCUCUCCUCUUGCAAGGACACAGCUCUUACAGGACUUCCUAGCCCACCCAAGAACAUCUUUCCAUCAUCGAAAAGUUAUUGAUAAGAUUUUUCCAUCACUGAAAAGUUAUUGAUAAGUGCCACCAUGUGCAUGAGCAGCCCUCCAGGUGCUGGCUUGUGGGCCGGUGUUUGAGAAUCUUGCCAGUUGAAUGUGGGCAUCUUGAGAGAGCAAGUACACGGUUUUGACCUUUGACUUGGGGUUUAUAUCUUGGCAUGCUUCUGGGGGCUGCGUCCCUUCUCCCCUGAUUCUUCCCUUGGGGUGGGCUGUCCGCAUGCGCAGUGGCCUGCCGACACUUGGGAGGGCCGCGUGCACAGUGUGCUUACUGGAGUUGUGCGGUGCCCUCUUGAGGCAGUCUUCCCUUACCAGUUCCUAGGGGAAGGUCACACGCUGGUUAAACUUUGCCACUUUGCCUCGUAGUGUGCAUGCUUGACCUCACUCACCAACUCCUGAGAUUUUUUUUAAAUUUUUUAAUUUAAGUUCUAGGGUACAUGUACACAACGUGCAGGUUUGUUACAUAGGUAUGCAUGUGCCAUGUUGGUUUGCUGCAUCCAUUAACUCGUCAUUUACAUUAGGUAUUUCUCCUAAUGCUAUCCUUCCCACCCCACGACAGGCCCUGGUGUGUGAUGUUGCCCGCACUGUGUCCAAGUGUUCUCAUUGUUCAAUUCCCACCUGUGCCAACUCCUGGGAUCUUAUCGGGAAGUGGCUCAUCAUCAGCUUUAGGUGUUUUCUAUCUAUUGGGAGCCUGCCUUUCUCUGGCACCAGCUGCAACCAAUAAUUAUUUUAGACAGUUUAACAACAGCUUGACCAUCACCUGAUGAUCACCUGACAUUUCUGUUGGGGCGCGGGCCCAUCUCCUGCCCCGCUCAUGUGGGGCUCAGUCUGCCCAACCUUUCCCCAAGGGCCUGUCUUUACUUCAUUUGUGGUAAGCCCCAAGCAGAAUGGACUCUUGUUAUGAUCCCAGGAACUGCUCACGGCCACCUCUGUGGAUGAACACCUAGCGGCUGCUCUAAAUACAUGCUGUGAAAGUUGUCAGAAUCAAAAUGGAGUCACUAAUGUUAAGAAAGCCCUGACAAAGAGUUGGUGGGGAAGGCCACGAAGAGAGGACACUUAUGCUUGCAUGCCUGAUACCAGAAAGGACUACAAAAACCACAGCCCGGCACAGAGGCCAUCACACCCUUACACAAAAAAUAUUUCUGCAAGGACAACUGCCCAGCAAUUGCCUGUCCAACCUCAGACUGGAAUGACCUUUGUUAUUGAUGUUUGUAGCCAAGGAGAAUUAUCUCAAAACCACUGUGAUCCUGCUCGCUUUUCCUUUAAAGACCUUUGUCUUCCUUGACCUCCCUGAAUAGGCAUAUGGUUUACUAUGGCGUGUGUACUCUCCUUGUAAUGUUCUGUUCUCAAGCUAACAUCUAUUCUUCUAGAGAACCUCUCUCUUAGGCUGACAACGCUGUGGAUCUGGGCUCCCAGGAACUGGGGCUGACAUCAGAGGGGUGGAAAGAGAACAGCAGCUCUCCCUGAGGGGAUGCUUGCCAAGGAUAAGGAGACGAUGGUUCUCUAAGGAUUAUUUUAUAUUCAUCUAAAAGGGUAUUUUUGUUGUUACCCCUAGCCUUUUUUCCCUUUUAAUUUUCUGAUGAAUAAUUUAUAUAAAGAAAACCCAUUCUAAGUGUGCAAUUCUAUGAGUUUUGACAAAUGUCUUCACCCAUGCAAAUCCUGUUACAACGGAGAUAUAGAACAUUUCCAUUACUUAAAAACAGCCAGGUGCUGUAGCUCAUGCCUGUAAUCCCAGCACUUUGGGAGGUCAAGGCGAGAGGAUUACUUGAGCCCAGGAGUUCAAGACCAGCCUGGGCAACAUAGUGAUGCCCCAUCUCUACAAAAAUAGAAGAAAUUAGCUGGGCAUGGUGGUACAUGCCUGUGAUCCCAGCUACUUGGGAGGCUGAGGUAAGAGGAUUGCUUGAGCCUGGGAGGUGGAGGCUGCAGUAAGCCACAAUCUCACCACUGCACUCCAGCCUGGGUGACAGUCAGACCCUGACUCCAAACAAAAACCAAAACUUCCUUCUUGCCCCUUUGCAGCCAGACUGUUUUCUGUCAUUGUGGAUGCAUCUGUUCUAGAAAUUUACAUGGAUGGAAUCACUCAGUCUUUUGUAUCUGGCUUCUUUUACUUGGCACAGUGUUUGUGAAACUCAUCAUUGUUCCACAUAACAGUAGUUCCUUUUAAUUGCCAAGUGGCAUUCCUUGGUGUGAAUGCACCACAGCUGGGCUAGCCACCCAGAUGCUGAUGGGCAGUCGAUAGGCGGUAGGAUGUCCCCAUUUUCAGUCACUAUGAAUUGGUCUGCUGUAAGCACUAGAGUAGAAAUUUUUUUUUAGAGACAGGGUCUCGCACCGUCAUCCAGGCUGGAGGGCAGUGGCUCAUAGCUCACUGCAGCCUCAAACUCCUGAGCUCGGGCAAUCCUCCCACCUCAGCCUCCCAAGUAACUGAAACUACAGGCACACACCACUACACUUGGCUAAUUUUUAAACUUUUUGUAGAGACGGGGUCUUGCUGUGUUGCCCAGGCUGGUCUUGAACUCCUGGGCACAAGCAAUCCUCCCACCUCUCAAGUAGCUGUAAUAGGUGUAAGCCACUGCCCAGCACCAUUUAUUGAAGAAUCUGUCCUUUCCACAGUGAGUGUGCUUAGCACCUUUGUUGGAAAUCAGUCGGCUGUAGAAAGCGGAUUAAUUUCUGGGCCCUCUGUUCUGUUCCAUUGGUCUGUGUGUCUGUUUUUAUGCCAGUUCCAUGCUGUUUUGGUUACUGUAGCUUUGUAGUGUAUUUUGAGUCUGGGAGUGUGAUGCCUCCAGCUUUGUUCUUUUUGUUCAGGAUGGCUUUGGCUGUUUGGGGUCUUUUGUGGUUCCAUACAAAUUUUAAUAUUAUUUCUUUUUCUAAAAAGAAU
rnacentral:lncRNA from 1 species